CUGUAGCUGUCUUCAGACACACCAGAAGAGGGCAUCAGAUCCCAUUACAGAUGGUUGUGAGCCACCAUGCUGUUGCUGGGAAUUGAACUCAGGACCUCUGGAAGAGCAGUCAGUGCUCUUAACUGCUGAGCCAUCUCUCCAGCCCCAUAGCCCCUUGGUUUUCAGAAUAAGGAUACCCACUUUGAAUGGACUAAGGUAGAAUCUCUCUGUGUGGUUUGAGUUCCCUGUCCCGCUAGCUAGGGAUAUAGAACUUUUUUGUGCCCGGUUUGCUUGCCCGUUUGUUGACUGGACUGCUUAUUUUCCUGUUUCCCCCUUCUGUUCUAGACAUUAGUCCCCGUCACUUGUAUGUCUAGAUUUUCUCUCGCUUGUAGCUCUAAUUGUUCUCUCGUCUCCUCACUCUAAUUGUUUCCCUUGCUGUGCUGAAGCUUUUAAACUUCAUGUAAUUCCACUUGACGAUUGUUGUCUUAUUUCCUGCCAUUUGGAAUCCUUUACAGAAAGAAAAUCCUUUGCCCAGGGCUGGGGAUGUGGCUCAGCUGCUGUCCUGGGUCAUCCAUUGCACCUAUGGCUAGGAAGAUGUUUCAGCCAUUUAUACUACUUGCUGCUCUUGCAGAGGACCAGUAUCAUCUGGUCUCUUUGGGAACCUGCACACGUGUUGUACAUAUACACACUCAAGCAUUCAUGCAUACACAAAACCCAAAAUAACAAAAAGCAAACAAGCUAGAUCUGGUGGUGUACACACACACACACACACACACACACACACACACACACUGCAUGGGGGCAGGUGGUGGGGAGACAGAGACAGAAGGACAGAAAAAUAGAGACAGAGAAGGAGGGCAAGAGAUGGCUCAGUGUUUAAGGACUCCUGAUGACCUGAGUUUGAUAUUAUGACACAUAUUGUGGAAGGAAAGAAUUAGCUCCUGAAAGUUGCCCUUUGACCUCUACAGGUGUGCUGUGGCAUGAGCACACACACACACACACACACACACACACACACACAAAUAAAAUCUAAUUUAAAAUUAGAAAAAAAAAAGGAAAAGCAAGUAUGAUGUAUGAAAACAUCACAUUGUGGCCCUUACAUAUAUUCUAUUAUUCUGAGUUGAUUUAAAAAACAAUACCCUACAUCCCGAUUUACAAAUGGGAUGCAGUAGCACAGGCUGACUGCAAACCAAGCACUUGGAAGGUAGAGCCAGGAGGAUAGGUGCAAUCCUUUAAUUCCAGCACCCAGGAGGCAGAGCCAGAUGAAUCUCUAAGUUCGAGGCCAGCCUGGUCUACAGAACAAGUUCUAAGACAGCCAGGGCUAUACAGAGAAACCCUGUCUCAAAAACACAAAGCCAAAACCAAAACAAGUCAAGAUCGUCCUCAGCUCCAUGGUGAUAUCAAGGCCAGCCUGAGCUACCUAAGACCCUUCUCAAGCAUAAGUUGAAAAGAAAGAGGUUGGCAGGUGGGCUCAGCAGGUAAUAAUGCUUGCUGUGCAGAACACAGCCUGAGUUUGAUCCCUGAUUCCCAUGCUGGAAGGAGAAAAAGCCACUCCUGAAAGUUGUCCUCUGACCUCCACACCCAACAGAAACACAAAAUAACAAUGGAAAAUAUAUACGGUGGUAUUUUCUUUCCAGGUUAAUGGAUUAAGCUGCUGGAUACUAUCUUAACUCUUUCUAGAGAAAUAGCCCAGAUGAGGGGUAGUGGAGAAUCUUGGGAGGCCUGGUGGAGACACAUUUGCGGAUGUGGGCAAAGCAAGGGCUUCAUGUGAGAACUCCACACAAUUCCAGGGUCAGAGUUUCUGCUAUCCAUCUGCUGCCUCUUCGGUUCCCUCGGUCACUGGCAUGCUGUCCAAGGCUGUGUCCAUGAGUGAUAUCAAUCUCCUUUCGGACUGCUCAGAUCCAAAUGGUAACUCACCUCAGUCCUAUGUCACAGACCUCAGCAAAUGGU
rnacentral:lncRNA from 1 species